AAUGAACGCUGGCGGCAGGCCUAACACAUGCAAGUCGAACGGGAUCUUCGGAUCUAGUGGCGGACGGGUGAGUAACGCGUGGGAACGUGCCCUUUGGUUCGGAAUAGCCCCGGGAAACUGGGAGUAAUACCGGAUGAGCCCUUCGGGGGAAAGCAGGGGAUCUUCGGACCUUGCGUUAAUGGAGCGGCUGAUAUCUGAUUAGCUAGUAGGUGAGGUAAAGGCUCACCUAGGCUUCGAUCAGUAGCUGGUCUGAGAGGACGACCAGCCACACUGGAACUGAGACACGGUCCAGACUCCUACGGGAGGCAGCAGUGGGGAAUUUUGGACAAUGGGCGCAAGCCUGAUCCAGCCAUUCCGCGUGAGUGAAGAAGGCCUUCGGGUUGUAAAGCUCUUUCGCAAGGGAGAAACGAUGCCGACGAAUAAUCGGUGUUAAUGACGGUACCUUGAUAAGAAGCACCGGCUAACUACGUG
rnacentral:rRNA from 1 species